CCUCGAUGUCGGCUCAUCGCAUCCUGGGGCUGGAGUCGGUCCCAAGGGUUGGGCUGUUCGCCCAUUAAAGCGGUACGCGAGCUGGGUUCAGAACGUCGUGAGWCAGUUCGGUCCCUAUCCGUCGUGGGCGUAGGAAAUUUGAGAGGAGCUGUCCUUAGUACGAGAGGACCGGGAUGGACAUACCUCUGGUGUACCAGUUGUCGUGCCAACGGCAUAGCUGGGUAGCUAUGUGUGGACGGGAUAAGUGCUGAAAGCAUCUAAGCAUGAAGCCCCCCUCAAGAUGAGAUUUCCCAACUUCGGUUAUAAGAUCCCUCAAAGAUGAUGAGGUUAAUAGGUUCGAGGUGGAAGCAUGGUGACAUGUGGAGCUGACGAAUACUAAUCGAUCGAAGACUUAAUCAAAA
rnacentral:rRNA from 1 species